rnacentral:rRNA from 1 species
UACGUAGGGGGCAAGCGUUAUCCGGAUUUACUGGGUGUAAAGGGAGCGUAGGCGGUUUUACAAGUCUGGUGUGAAAGCCCAGGGCUCAACCCUGGGACUGCAUUGGAAACUGUAGGACUUGAGUGUCGGAGAGGUAAGUGGAAUUCCUAGUGUAGCGGUGAAAUGCGUAGAUAUUAGGAGGAACACCAGUGGCGAAGGCUACUUACUGGACGAUAACUGACGCUGAGGCUCCAAAGCGUGGGGAGCAAACAGG